CAGCUGCUACUAGUGCCGUGAACCAUUGCACAUAACUAAACAGUGCAUGAUAGAUUUGACAUAUUGAAGACAUGCUGGACAAAUAUCACUUUGGAGAACAUUUUUAGAGAGUAAAUUUUCACCGGUAGGUAAAACUCCUUUCAGUGCCCGCCAAGCAAAAUUUAAGACCUUUGGUGGCAUUUUUAAGGUCCAGAGUUUCUUCCAAGUGUUA
rnacentral:lncRNA from 1 species